rnacentral:rRNA from 1 species
AUUGAACGCUGGCGGCAGGCUUAACACAUGCAAGUCGAACGAGUGGCGGACGGGUGAGUAAUGCUUGGGACUCUCGCUUAUGGAGGGGGAUAACUACGGGAAACUGUAGCUAUUACCGCGUACCAUAGGAUGAGCCCAAGUGGGAUUAGGUAGUUGGUGAGGUAAAGGCUCACCAAGCCGACGAUCUCUAGCUGGUCUGAGAGGAUGACCAGCCACACUGGGGCUGAGACACGGCCCAUACUCCUACGGGAGGCAGCAGUGGGGAAUAUUGGUCUAUGGGGGAAACCUGGCGUAGCCAUGCCGCGUGACGGGAGAAGGCCAUCGGGUUGUAAAGUUCUUUCGGUAGCGAGGCGUUAACUACAGAAGAAGCACCGGCUAACUCCGUGCCAGCAGCCGCGGUAAUUC